rnacentral:rRNA from 1 species
UACGUAUGGUGCAAGCGUUGUCCGGAUUUACUGGGUGUAAAGGGAGCGCAGACGGCGGCGCGAGCCGGAUGUGAAAACCCGGGGCCCAACCCCGGGGCGUCAUCCGGGACUGCGCGGCUGGAGUGCCGGAGGGGCAGGCGGAAUUCCUAGUGUAGCGGUGAAAUGCGUAGAUAUUAGGAGGAACACCGGCGGCGGAGGCGGCCUGCUGGACGGCGACUGACGUUGAGGCUCGAGAGCGUGGGGAG